rnacentral:miRNA from 1 species
AGUAUGAGAGACAGAGAGAGAGACAGAGAGAGAGAAAGUUGAAUUUUGUUUUAUUAUCUACAUUGGCAAUGCAUAUCUCUCUCUCUCUCUCUCUCUCUCUCUCUCUCUCUCUCUCUCUCUCUCUCU